GCAGAGGUGGUCUAGAUGUUUAUGACGCACCUUUAACACAGCUGAGGACGGGGGUUCGAUUCCCCUCCAUGUA
rnacentral:tRNA from 1 species